UGACGGACAGGUGAAGGAAGCGUUCCAU
rnacentral:piRNA from 1 species